AAUCCAUAGAACUCGCGAACAACUUUACCCUCGCAUUCCUAUAUUACCCUCUUAUACGGUUGUGGGGUAUUCACUGAGAUCAGGACAAUCGGCCGUCGUGCUGAAUGAUUACUUCUUGUGAGGGCAGCCUAGUGAACGUUUUCCUGUUUUUCACGAUACCACAAAAGUCGAAAAUUUUGUGUUGAAUUUUCGUCAUCCCGAGCGAAUAGCUUUCAAUCCUAUCGAAGGCGUCUUUCCUGCGGCCAACAACUCCAAUCAAUCUCAUCUUAUCCUCCAAACGAUUUAAACCAAUUAAAUAAAAUGGCCUUUGGACCUCCGCGUGGACGGGGCGGAGCACCCAGAGGGCG
rnacentral:sRNA from 1 species